GACGAACGCUGGCGGCGUGCCUAAUACAUGCAAGUAGAACGCACAGUUUAUACCGUAGCUUGCUACACCAUAGACUGUGAGUUGCGAACGGGUGAUUAACGCGUAGGUAACCUGCCUGGUAGCGGGGGCUAACUAUUGGAAACGAUAGCUAAUACCGCAUAAUAUUGAUUAUUGCCUGAUAAUUGAUUGAAAGAUGCUAUUGCAUCACUACCAGAUGGACCUGCGUUGUAUUAGCUAGUAGGUGAGGUAACGGCUCACCUAGGCGACGAUACAUAGCCGACCUGCGAGGGGGAGCGGCCACACUGGGAUGGGGACACGGCCCAGACUACUACGGGAGGCAGCAGGAGGGAAUCUUUGGGAAUGGACGAAAGUCUGAACGAGCAACGCCGCGUGAGUGAAGGAGGUUGUCGGGUCGUAAAGCUCUGUUGUGAGAGAAGAACGGGUGUGAGAGUGGAAAGUGCACACUGUGACGGUAGCUGACCAGAAAGGGACGGCUAACUACGUG
rnacentral:rRNA from 1 species